AUUAAAUGUGAUAUAAUUAUUCUGUAAAUCUUAUUUGCUUUGUAAAUCGCAUGUUCGAGCGGGCAACCCCAAAAUUAGUGGGAAAAGUAAAUACGUGGAUGGCAACACUGACGCUCGAGCAUACGAUGGCGGAUUACGUUUUGAUGCGAUUGUAAAAUGUGAUUAUUCGAAAUAAGAAUAUUGAGUUCAAAGUACGUGGUUUCAAUACAUAUCCUGGAGUAUUUCAACAAUUCAGAAGUGGUACCGACCUACCGAAAGUUUGGAAAUUCUGUUUGCUAUCCUGUACCCAACAAGUUACAAGGGGUCAGCUACACUAGAGAGGGGAGUGCAAUGUCUAAUGGGAGUCUGUGUAAUAUGACUACAGGGAGAAGAAAUGAUGAACCUAAAUAUACCUUUUACCAACCAACCAAGUCGGGAGGAUGACACCAUGAGCUCAGCGUCGAGACUCCAGCCACAAACUAUUCAAUAGUAAUAAUGAGUAGUAGCUUAAUUACAUAAUUAUUAGGUAUUUUACUUCAAUAAUGUCUGACUGAUUUAUCUUCUUUGUUAAUGUAACAAGAUCAAGUUAUAAUGUUAGUAGGUAAAAUGAUUUCAUUUAUGUUCUUAAAUAAUUGUAAGUUGAAAAGUAAAUCUAUUUUCUUUUGUUUUGGUUCUGAUAAGUUAUGCUAAAUAUUUUAAAUAGGGUACCUAAUUGUGAACAAUGUCCCAUUAAUCCAAGAUAGAUUAUUAAUUCACAUCUUACUUUAAUCUUGUUUGAUUGAUUUAUCAUUUUGAUUGAAUGUAAUGUCAGAAACUGAUCUCAUAUAAGUUCCUAAAUUAGUGAUGGUAAUUGAGAAGUGAAUCUAUUUUCUUUUGUUUUGGUUGUGAUAAGUUAUGUUAAAUACAUUUUAAAUAGGGUACCUAAUUGUAAACAAUGUAUGGGAGUUAAUCCAAGUUAGAUUACUUCACAUCUUUAAUCUUGUUUGAUUGUAUGUAUGUCAGAAAACUGAUCUCAUUUAUGUUCCUAAAUUAGUAACGUUCAUUGAGAAGUGAAUCAAUUAUUUUUUUUUAUUUUUUUAAUGGGUUCUGAUACCUCUAAAAUGUAAACGAUAAUGAUAAUUGGCCUAGUCCAAAUUUCGUUAACUUUUUCUUUUAUUUAUAAGUGUGGGACACACAGGCAGUCAAAUGGCCGAAACCGUAAUGAGGGCAUUCCGGGGACAGAAUGGCCGACUGUUAGCAUUAAAUGUGAUAUAAUUAUUCUGUAAAUCUUAUUUGCUUUGUAAAUCGCAUGUUCGAGCGGGCAACCCCAAAAUUAGUGGGAAAAGUAAAUACGUGGAUGGCAACACUGACGCUCGAGCAUACGAUGGCGGAUUACGUUUUGAUGCGAUUGUAAAAUGUGAUUAUUCGAAAUAAGAAUAUUGAGUUCAAA